rnacentral:rRNA from 1 species
UAGAGUUUGAUCAUGGCUCAGAUUGAACGCUGGCGGCAUGCCUUACACAUGCAAGUCGAACGCGAAAGCGGGGCAACCUGCAAGUAGAGUGGCGAACGGGUGAGUAAUACAUCGGAACAUAUCCAGUAGCGGGGGAUAACCUGUCGAAAGAUAGGCUAAUACCGCAUACGAUCUACGGAUGAAAGCGGGGGACCGCAAGGCCUCGCACUAUUGGAGUGGCCGAUGUCGGAUUAGCUAGUUGGUGAGGUAAAGGCUUACCAAGGCGACGAUCCGUAGCUGGUCUGAGAGGACGAUCAGCCACACUGGAACUGAGACACGGUCCAGACUCCUACGGGAGGCAGCAGUGGGGAAUUUUGGACAAUGGGCGCAAGCCUGAUCCAGCCAUGCCGCGUGAGUGAAGAAGGCCUUCGGGUUGUAAAGCUCUUUCGGCGGGGACGAAACGGUUCGUGACAACACCACGGACUAAUGACGGUACUCGCAUAAGAAGCACCGGCUAACUACGUGCCAGCAGCCGCGGUAAUACGUAGGGUGCAGGCGUUAAUCGGAAUUACUGGGCGUAAAGCGUGCGCAGGCGGUUUGUUAAGACAGGUGUGAAAUCCUCGGGCUUAACCUGGGAAUUGCGCUUGUAACUGGCAGGCUAGAGUGUGGCAGAGGGGGGUGGAAUUCCACGUGUAGCAGUGAAAUGCGUAGAUAUGUGGAGGAACACCGAUGGCGAAGGCAGCUCUCUGGGUUAACACUGACGCUCAUGCACGAAAGCGUGGGGAGCAAACAGGAUUAGAUACCCUGGUAGUCCACGCCCUAAACGAUGUCAACUAGUUGUCGGGGAAGAAUUUCUUUGAUAACGAAGCUAACGCGUGAAGUUGAUCGUCUGGGGAGUACGGUCUGCAAGGUUAAAACUCAUAGGAAUUG